rnacentral:miRNA from 16 species
AGGUCGGGAGAAGAAACAAUGUU